GGAAUGGCUGCUGGCUUGGGCACAGCGUGCAAGAAUAACAACGUUGCCAUAGGCGUGGACCUGCCUGACACCUUUUCCGGGGUUCAAACAGCCGCUCACGAACUGGCACAUAUGUUGGGCGCUCCUCACGACGGCGAAGGAGAAGCUGCAGAAUGCUUAAUCAAGAGCCCAUAUUUGAUGAGUCACUACAGACGCGGGAAAACCAUUUGUGCCUUUUCCAGCUGUACAAAGGAGAUCAUAGCCAAUUUUUUAAGGAAGACUGACUCUGCCUGCCUAAGGGAGCACAAACUGUGCCACGUUAUUUCUCUGCCAAACAAGGCAGCAAACCUUCCAGGUGAUGUAAUGGAUGCACCCACCUAUUGCAACAAGACCUACCCAAAACCACAAUACCUCAGCGCUACUUAC